CGUUGUUUCCUAAUUCUUUCAAGGCCGUUCAAUAAUUUUCAAAAUCAAAAAGCGAUAUAUCAAUCAUAAGAAUAACAAUCCCAUCUCUUCACAAUCGAAAAUUAUAAGAAUCCCAAUUAUUAUCCCUUAUUGUUGAUACCCUAACUCUUCACAAUCGAUCAGCCAUAUAUCAAUUAUAAGAAUCCCAAGUAUUUUACCUUAUUGUUCAUUAUGCUGCCAUGGAUUUACUCUUCACAGUCCUGUAAAUUCAUGACAAGACUCUGGGAUACAAGAGUAACCUAUCCAUUGGGCGGAAUGAUCCAAGGAUACAUGCAAAUACCAUCACACGCAUGUUAGUUAAUAAUUUGGUUGCUCUUAACUCACUCAGGUCAGUAUUUUCAUUCUUAGAGGUUUACCCGAGAGGCUGCGAAGGGCCUUGCUAGAAAACUAGAAUACCAGGGAUGUGAAGGGCCUUAAACUGGAAAACUUUGUUUCUUAAUUAAAGGGCAUUUUCUUGAUGCGGUUAAUUAGACUGGUGAUGACGUUGAAGAUAUGCUGACGAGAUUGGUGAUGCGAAUCUAGCAAUGAGGUAUGUCCAUCUAUUUUAUAAGUUUACCACAUUCAGUUCGCAUAGGGAGUUCCCAGGUAACUUUUGAUUCGUGAUGAACGAUUUGGCAUAGUUUAUGUAUCUUUUUCCAAAACUUCUUUGAGAGUUAUUUAGCAAUUUUAAUUUGCUUGGUAGGGAUGAUUUGGUUAUUAGUGUGAGUGUGGAUGUUGGUGCUAUUUUAGUUGAUGGACUUGGGGAUGGUAUUUUAUUAGAAGAGAUCAAGAAUUUAAGUUUAUCAUACACCUUUGAAUUUGCUAUGUACUAAAGAUACAGGGUGUGGAACACUAGGACCUAUUUGAUGGCUGGUUAUAUACUUGUGGUUGCUUAUUUUUUAUA